GUUGACCUCGGAUCAGGUAGGAAUACCCGCUGAACUUAAGCAUAUCAAUAAGCGGAGGAAAAGAAACCAACAGGGAUUGCCUCAGUAACGGCGAGUGAAGCGGCAACAGCUCAAAUUUGAAAUCUGGCCCUAGGCCCGAGUUGUAAUUUGCAGAGGAUGCUUUUGGUGCGGUGCCUUCCAAGUUCCCUAGAACGGGACGCCAGAGAGGGUGAGAGCCCCGUACAGUUGGACACCAAGCCUUUGUAAAGCUCCUUCGACGAGUCGAGUAGUUUGGGAAUGCUGCUCAAAAUGGGAGGUAUAUUUCUUCUAAAGCUAAAUACCGGCCAGAGACCGAUAGCGCACAAGUAGAGUGAUCGAAAGAUGAAAAGCACUUUGAAAAGAGGGUUAAACAGCACGUGAAAUUGUUAAAAGGGAAGCGCUUGUGACCAGACUUGCGUCCGGUGAAUCACCCAGCUCUCGCGGCUGGGGCACUUCGCCGGCUCAGGCCAGCAUCAGCUCGCUGUCGGGGACAAAAGCUUCAGGAACGUAGCUCUCUUCGGGGAGUGUUAUAGCCUGUUGCAUAAUACCCUUCGGCGGGCUGAGGUACGCGCUCCGCAA
rnacentral:rRNA from 1 species